UACGUAGGGGGCGAGCGUUGUCCGGAGUUACUGGGCGUAAAGGGCAUGCAGGCGGUCGGACGCGUUUUGUGUGACAGCGGGUGGCUCAACUGCCCGAGCAUACGAAAGACGGUUUGACUUGAGGGCUCGAGAGGGACACGGAAUUCCGGGUGGAGUGGUGAAAUGCGUAGAGAUCAGGAGGAACACCGAUGGCGAAGGCAGUUCUCUGGGCCGUAACUGAGCGCUGA
rnacentral:rRNA from 1 species